rnacentral:rRNA from 1 species
CAUAAUCAUUUGCCCUUUAAUUGGGGGCUUGUAUGAAUGGAUUAACUUUACCUAAUUGUCUCAAGCGUAUCUACGAAACUUUAUAUUCAAGUGAAGAAACUUGAAUUCAAAUGAAGGACCAAAAGACCCUAUAGAGCUUCACAAUAAAUGUAGAUUUAGCCCCUACAAUCUUGUUUCAUUGGGGCGAUGAUAGAGUUUCCUCCUCUACUAACUUACCUUACUCCAAAUUAAUACCUAACCCUUAUUCUAGACCAAGGAAAAGCUACCUUAGGGAUAACAGUCUAAUCCUCCUUGAAAGUUCACAUAGACAGGAGGGUUUGGCACCUCGAUGU